rnacentral:rRNA from 1 species
CAGUCGCCGCGGGAAUACGUAGGGUGCAAGCGUUAAUCGGAAUUACUGGGCGUAAAGCGUGCGCAGGCGGUUCGCUAAGACAGGUGUGAAAUCCCCGGGCUUAACCUGGGAACUGCAUUUGUGACUGGCGGGCUAGAGUAUGGCAGAGGGGGGUAGAAUUCCACGUGUAGCAGUGAAAUGCGUAGAGAUGUGGAGGAAUACCGAUGGCGAAGGCAGCCCCCUGGGCCAAUACUGACGCUCAUGCACGAAAGCGUGGGGAGCGAACAGGAUUAGAUACCCGGGUAGUCCCUGUCUCUUAUAC